UAAGGGUGUAGUUUAAAUGGAAAAACAUUAGUCUCCAAAAUUAAUAAUAAGGGUUCAAUUCCUUUCGCCCUUGUC
rnacentral:tRNA from 1 species